rnacentral:rRNA from 1 species
UAGGGAAUCUUCCACAAUGGACGCAAGUCUGAUGGAGCAACGCCGCGUGAGUGAAGAAGGUUUUCGGAUCGUAAAGCUCUGUUGUUGGUGAAGAAGGAUAGAGGCAGUAACUGGUCUUUAUUUGACGGUAAUCAACCAGAAAGUCACGGCUAACUACGUGCCAGCAGCCGCGGUAAUACGUAGGUGGCAAGCGUUGUCCGGAUUUAUUGGGCGUAAAGCGAGCGCAGGCGGAAUGAUAAGUCUGAUGUGAAAGCCCACGGCUCAACCGUGGAACUGCAUCGGAAACUGUCAUUCUUGAGUGCAGAAGAGGAGAGUGGAAUUCCAUGUGUAGCGGUGGAAUGCGUAGAUAUAUGGAAGAACACCAAUGGCGAAGGCGGCUCUCUGGUCUGCAACUGACGCUGAGGCUCGAAAGCAUGGGUAGCGAACAGG